rnacentral:rRNA from 1 species
GCAUAUCAAUAAGCGGAGGAAAAGAAACCAACAGGGAUUCCCCUAGUAACGGCGAGUGAAGCGGGAACAGCUCAAAUUUGAAAUCUGGCCCUUGGGUCCGAGUUGUAAUUUGCAGAGGAUGCUUUUGGUGCGGUGCCUUCCGAGUUCCCUGGAACGGGACGCCUUAGAGGGUGAGAGCCCCGUACGGUUGGCCACCAAGCCUGUGUAAAGCUCCUUCGACGAGUCGAGUAGUUUGGGAAUGCUGCUCAAAAUGGGAGGUAUAUUUCUUCUAAAGCUAAAUACUGGCCAGAGACCGAUAGCGCACAAGUAGAGUGAUCGAAAGAUGAAAAGCACUUUGAAAAGAGGGUUAAAUAGCACGUGAAAUUGUUGAAAGGGAAGGAUUUAUGACCAGACUUUUUCUGGGGGGAUCAUCCGGUGUUCUCACCGGUGCACUUCCCCCAGUUGAGGCCAGCAUCGGUUUCUGCCGGGGGAUAAAAGCUUUGGGAAUGUGUCUCCUUCGGGAGUGUUAUAGCCCGUUGCAUAAUACCCUGGCGGGGACCGAGGUUCGCGCAUUGCAAGGAUGCUGGCGUAAUGGUUAUUAAUCACCCGUCUUGAAACACGGACC